rnacentral:lncRNA from 1 species
UUCAUUACCAUUUACUUUAUUCAGCCCCGCCUCCGCCUUGCACUAACUCCUGACGUCACCGACCUGCCCACCCUAGUAACCAUAGGUAGAGUCCUCUGUCAGUCAAAUUACGCCCCAACUCGAAGACCGAUAUCCUUUUCUGAUUGGUUCAAAUGGAGACCUGAUCCUCUGAUUAUUGGCUUCCUCUACUUGUCCGUCACGAAACCAAUUUCCAAGUCCGUCACUUCGGCUUUUUUUAAAUGAACGCGCAAAAGUAUCCUAAAAGGGAUUGGCUAGUGUUCGUAGAUGGCCAAGCCCCGAGUCUGCGGACCCUGAAGAUCUGACCUCUACGCUUCGCGAAAAACGAACACCAUAAAGAAACCAACGGGCAGUCCAGUUAUAGGUGGAAAUUGGUCCCACCCGGAGUGGAGAGAGCCGGCUCCUGAUUGGCCAGAGAAGUGCCCCUAGCCCCUCAUUGGAAGAGGUGGCCGCCUCUCUUUGGCAUAGAGCUGUGAAGGGAGAGCACAGAAAGAGCCAUCUUCGACAGCCUAGGAAUCAUUUAAAUGACUUACAGAAUAUAUUUUCUUAAAUCACACCUUUGCUUGGGACAUCCUAAAGAUCAACAAAUGAGGGCCCUUGGAUACCCUGGCCUAGAGAACCCAGGCAAACACAGAUAGACAUCAGAGCCCUUUCUUGCACUGCUUGAUUUCCUCUUGAUCUCCUUUGGCAGACACUAAAAUGCAAUAUGAGAUUCAGUGAUGUAACCAGGCUGCAGAUUGUAUACAACUCAUCCUUUAAUCACUAAAAGUAAGAAAACAUA